GAAAUUAAUUAAAUCGCAGAUUCGGAACUAGUAUUGUAUGAUUGGUAAGAACGAAACGUAUGAAAAGAGUCUGGAAUGGAGCGUUAAGAUGUGAGUGAGAGAAAACGGAAAGAAAGGGAGAAGAGAAUGACAGACAGAAUGACAGAGAAAAGGAAGAUGGCGAAGACGGUUAAAAAAUGAGCAAGGUGUAAUAAAAGUGUUAAUUAAUUUUUAAUUAUUAUAACAGAAGAUUUUGGAACAGUUUAACUUUUAUUCUAUGCGCUGCGAUCCCUAAUUCUACAGUAUUAAUUACGUUUUACAUUCUUAAUGGGUUUUGUUUUAAUUAUUUGUGGUCCCUGAGUUGACUGUAUUUUGUUACGUGAUAGAUCAUUUAGUCUUCGGUCAGUGUGAUGUGUCAUCGGUAUUCUAAUGAAUCUCAUAAAUCUUGUGUUGAAAGAGUUGUGUUCUUGAGGAAUUGGGAUUGUGAUUGGGACCACGAAUUGGCAUUUGCAACUCGUAAAGUGAUUAGAAGAGAGUGGAAAAUUUGAAGAGUCCUAUAUCCACCAGUGACGGUUUAAAUUAUCAUUGGUAGUAAGCACGGAAUAGAUAAAUAAGGUUGGAAUGGUAAUGUAGGCGGGGCAAGCGUGCCACUGUUAUGAUAGAACAAACAUAACUCGACCGAUUCUUUCAUUCACCGCGUUUAGUGCGCUUCGGACUACUUGGCGAACAGAUCUCCGCUUUAUAGUGCCGUGUUGUGCAAUUAUAACUUGUAAAACAAAAAAUCAGACCUCAAGUAUAGAGCGAGGAGGUAUAUCUUUCGAUCGGUUUCCUAAAGAACCUAACGCCAGGGAACAAUGGAUUGACGUGACAGGUAGAGGAAACUGGAGACAAAGACGAGUACUAUUUGCUCUAAACAUUUUACUGAAAAUGAUUUUAUCAUAAAAAAAAUCAGAAUACACUUAGUUUUGAAAAAUUCAUUCGCAAUUAAUAGCAAGCGCCAACUGCUUAACAAAUACGUUUUAUUCCAGCGACAGUGACUAUUUGUAAUUAAUAAAAGUAAAAUAGUUUUUUUUUUCAAUAUUUA